GGAUGUGAGGGUGAUCUGGCUGCGAUAUCUGUCACCCCAUUGAUCACCAGGGUUGAUUCGGCUGAUCUGGAUGGCUAAGCAAGUGUCCCCUUACUCCCUCGCUGCUCCAUGUGCAUCCCUCCCGAAGCUGCAUGCUCCGUGGAAGAGGACACACUUCCUUGAAUAGAGACAAACUGCACUCCCCUGCUAGAACCUCCAAACAAGCUCUCAGUAAAGACUAAUCACCUCCAGUUCCAUCCACUUUGUCCCAAAGGGCACAAU
rnacentral:snRNA from 1 species